rnacentral:pre_miRNA from 1 species
UUCUUUUAACCUCCGUCCGAAAAUAUUUGUCGGAGAAAUAGAUGUAUAUAGACAUAUUUUAGUUCUAAAUAGAUCCAUCUUUAUCCAUUUCUCUGACAAUUAUUUCCGGACAAAGGGAACACAUU